rnacentral:tRNA from 3 species
GGGGGUAUGGCCGAGUGGUCUAAGGCGCUGCAUUUAAGCUGCAGUGAACGAAAGUUCGCGCGCGUUCGAACCGCGCUGCCCCCA